rnacentral:rRNA from 1 species
GCAAGGAAUUUUCCGCAAUGGGCGAAAGCCUGACGGAGCAACGCCGCGUGUGGGAUGACGCUUUUCGGAGUGUAAACCACUGUUCAUGGGGACGAAGCACUGACGGUACCCAUGGAGGAAGGCCCGGCUAACUACGUGCCAGCAGCCGCGGUAAUACGUAGGGGUCGAGCGUUGUCCGGAGUUACUGGGCGUAAAGCGCAUGCAGGCGGCUCAUUACGCAUGGCGUGAAAGCCCCCGGCUUAACCGGGGAGGGUCGUCGUGAACGGGUGAGCUUGAGGAUAUCAGGGGCUGGUGGAAUUCCCGGUGUAGUGGUGAAAUGCGUAGAGAUCGGGAGGAACACCUGUGGCGAAGGCGGCCAGCUGGGAUAUACCUGACGCUGAGAUGCGAAGGCGUGGGGAGCGAACGGGAUUAGAAACCCCAGUAGUCC